AGUCAGACGCUUAACCGACUGAGCCACCCAGGCGCCCCUCUUUCUCUUCUUGAUACAGGUGGUGCCAACAGAUCCUCUUAAGGAUUAUCUGUCAGCUGUGUGCAAGCUGUUUGAGGUGCAUUUGAACCCUUUCAUCUCAGUACAUUGCUCUUCUGCAUGUCCCUUCCCUUUAUAAAUUCAGUAGACUAAGGUCUGGAUUUUGCAGAGAAUAACUGUGCAGCUGCUGUGGGUCAUCUUCUGCCCGAUUCCACCUUGUCAAAUUUUGAAAGUUCUUGGGAGCAGAGGUGAAGAAGUGCCCCAGUCUCCUGUCUGCAUCCAGGAAACAAUGCUGACUCUGAACUAGAUCUUGAAGAAUGAGCACAUGUCUUGACAGCUUAAGAGGAAAACAGUUCCUGGCAGAAAUAAGAGCAUAUAUACAUCAGCUAAGGGUGCUAGGAGCUCCACACCUUCCCUAUGGACUUCUGUUGCACACCGGAUUCUGAUUCAUUUUCAUAAAACAUUGUCUUCAUCAUGUCACUCUCCUGCUCCAAAUUUUAUAGUAACUGUUACUGUCUGAGAGAUAAAGGUCAGAUUCUUCAACCUGACACUCAAAUUUCUACAUUUUUAUUUGACAGUGAAAAUACAUAUAAUUAAACUAGUCCCCAAAGUCUCUUCCCACCCAUCAAAAUGUAAUGAGAAGUGAUUUAAGAGUAAUAGUGUAAUUUUAACUUUGAAUUAAACCACCUGACUGGGAAGAUAACUCCUGGAUCGCUCUAUGUUCCUAAGUUCUGGAAUACAGAGAAUAAGUCUCACACUCAGUAUGUGUUAACCUGUUUUAGUUACAAACCCAAGGAAAUGUCAUUUUGGGGAAGAGAUUUCUAUAGGUCUUCACACAAUUCUGAAUCCUUUCAUCAUGGAAUUUGUUUGAAGUGUGAAAACUUCUCAUUUCUUCCGAUUACUGGAUCCAUCAGGAAAAGGUCCCUUGAGUGUCUUUGCUCUUGUAUGUAGCAGAUAUUAUCUAAGGCUGUACAGCACAAUGUAGUAAGCCUACUUAUAUAGCUACUGAGCACUUGAAAUGUGGCUGUUGUGACCGAGGAACUGAAUAUUUAAUUUUAGUUAAAUUUGAAAACUAACAGUGUAAAAUAUUUUCUCAUUAUACACAUUUUAUUGUUUUGGAAGGACUGCAUUUCAAUUUAACCUUGGAAAAUUUAGUGUCCCAAGUUUAGGUGAGCUAUACAUGUAAAAUGCAUGUUGUAUUUCAAAGACUUGGAACAACAAGACAAAAUGCAAAAUAUCUUAAUGUUGUUUUUCAGAUUGAUGACAUGUUGAAAUAAUAGUUUGGAUGUAUUUGGUUUAAAUAAAAUCUAGCAUUAAACUUAA